CGGGAAACUGGGGAUAAUACCCUAUAGACUAUGGAUGCUGGAAUGCUCUGUAGCCGAAAGGUCAGCCGCCGUAGGAUGGGUCUGCGGCCGAUUAGGUUGUUGUUGGGGUAACGGCCCAACAAGCCUGUAAUCGGUACGGGUUGUGGGAGCAAGAGCCCGGAGAUGGAUUCUGAGACACGAAUCCAGGCCCUACGGGGCGCAGCAGGCGCGAAAACUUUGCAAUGCGGGAAACCGUGACAAGGGAACUCUGAGUGCCCGUAAAAUCGGGCUGUCCAUCGGUUUAAAUAACCGGUGAAGAAAGGGCCGGGCAAGACCGGUGCCAGCCGCCGCGGUAACA
rnacentral:rRNA from 1 species